CGCUGGUAACAUGUUUAUUUUUAUUUUUUUUUGUUUUAAAACGUGAGGUUUCAUGGCGGUCUGAGGCACCGCCGGGAGGUGUGCGGGGGGGGGGAGACGGGGCUGUAAAACGCUCCCGGCUCCGGCUGCACCCAAAAUCAUCAAUCUUGCAAAUUAUCAGCCCUUUUUUUUUUUUUUGUAUUAUUAAAAUUAAGUGGAUUAAAGCGGUGUUACUUCAAGCUUUAUUAAAAUACGCUUUGGAGAGAAAUUUGAUUUCUCUAUGAGCAACCUCCUUUGGUACGAGAUUUUUAACCGAAUUACUGAGACGUGAAGCCCCUUUCUCUGAAAGCUGGGUUUUGGGGCAGCGUUUUAAUUUUGCAUGACGGUUCCAGGUAAGGUGUGCCAAGUAUUUUUAGUUGCGUUGUUGCCUGGGUGUGUUGGGUUCUGGGUUGCUGGGUUUGUUGCCGACGGCUGUAACUGUUGAUUUUGUACCUACCGCAGCAGAAAGGCGUUAGGAGGAAGCUGGCCAUGUAAGAGUUAUUUUUUGGCACACUUAUCAGGAGAUUAAAAAGAAGCUGAUGGUAAUCUCGUACAGGCUUUGUACUGACGUGACUCCGGGCAUUUACUGACUGUACUUUAAAUGGAGUCUCAAGGACACGGAAUUGUGUGGCUUUGGGGCUUUUAAAUAUCAUCUCUCAAGCCUGCGUUCUGUGUGGCAUCUUACAUGGUGGUUCUCCAUAGGUCGUUCUGACUAUGGUGUGGUACUCCUGAGCAGACCACUUUUUAUUCAUGUAUUAUUUAUCUCUUAUUUGUAUAGUUGCAUACCUCAUAUCUCAGUAUUCCUCAGUUCAUUUAACAUCACAACAGCCCUGUGAUGUAGAGAAAUAUAUUCAUCCCAUUUUACCAAUAAAGGUUUUAACAGUU